rnacentral:lncRNA from 1 species
AACUCUGGAAGACGUAACAUCCUUCUCCUCCUCAUGUUGUUCCAAAUAGGUUUCAUGGUUCCUCCUCCUCCUACACUUCGUCAGAUACAGAUCAAAGAUUUGUAAUAGUCUCACCCCCUUCUCCACAUAAGAGAUAAGAUAACCGUGCCAUGGGGCGGUAUCAUGCAAGCAGUGAAGAUUUUCUAGAGCAAACUCGAAGCAACUAGUGCUACUGCUGUAGGAUAUCUCCAUUAUUGUAUCUGCU